GACGAACGCUGGCGGCGUGCUUAACACAUGCAAGUCGAACGGAAAGGCCCUGCUUGCAGGGUGCUCGAGUGGCGAACGGGUGAGUAACACGUGGGUGAUCUGCCCCUUACUUUGGGAUAAGCCUGGGAAACUGGGUCUAAUACUGGAUAGGACCAUGCUGUAGGUGGUGUGGUGGAAAGAUUAGUUUCGGUAAGGGAUGAGCUCGCGGCCUAUCAGCUCGUUGGUGGGGUAAUGGCCUACCAAGGCGUCGACGGGUAGCCGGCCUGAGAGGGUGGACGGCCACAUUGGGACUGUGAUACGGCCCAGACUCCUACGGGAGGCAGCAGUGGGGAAGAUUGCACAAUGGGCGCAAGCCUGAUGCAGCGACGCCGCGUGGGGGAUGACGGCCUUCGGGUUGUAAACUCCUUUCAGCCAUGACGAAGCCCUUGUGGUGACGGUAGUGGUAGAAGAAGCACCGGCUAACUACGUG
rnacentral:rRNA from 1 species